rnacentral:hammerhead_ribozyme from 1 species
GCACUACUGAGGAGUCCCAUAAUAGGACGAAACGGCCGUCCAGUUU